UUUUAUUUCAAUUAGUGUUUUAUGAUUUGGUAAAAAAAAACUUUUAGUAUGGCCCCUGCGCAAGGAUAACACGUAAAAUCGUGAAGCGUUCCACAUUUUU